ACCAGAAAUUAUGCAGUCGAGAUUCCCACAUUUGGGAAGAUCGUAGAACCUGUUUCUACGGUAGUGCAAAGUCUACAGUCUACAGUGUGGACUGUAGACGGUUACGCCGCGUGAUUGGUCUGGGUCUACGAUGGCCGGAACCAAUCGCGCUUCAAUGUUACGUUCUACAGGUCACCGUAGACAGUUACGCUGUCCGAUUCGUCGGGGCUGAGUCGACACGCGGACCCCCAACAACCAAUCACAGCGCUCGUUUCCAAAGGCCACAGGUAAAGAUGGCAACAAUCCGCGUUGUGAACCCAGGCGCCCCUGCACAUCGUCAGCAGGCUGUGCUGCUGUCGACUAAAGAGGCACGUCUUUACCGGGAGGAAAAAAAGGUCUUCCCAAAACCUCCCCUGGAGCUGCUGAACCCACUCACUGCACUGGACCAUGCAGAGACAAUCCUCCAAGCAGAGGGAGUCCCUGCACCGUCACGACAGCAGUGUCUGGGACGGCUGGUGUUGCUGUUCGGCCAGUACGGACACGCACCUUUCCACUGGCUUGUGGAGAACGACGUAGGCUAUAUGAAGUACUGAAGACAAGGACCUCCAGUUUCAGGCCCUCCUCAUGGCCAGAGGAUGAUGAUGAUGAUGAACUGGCAGCUGCAUCCCAGCCUGUGGAAGAUAGAAUAAAGUCCCAGAAGUCACAUUCCCGGGAUCCCCUGCCCUUGAAUUCGCCUUCAAAGACAUCCAAACAUGCCCCCCCCCCGGAUGAGAAGCGUCACUCAGCCUCACAGAACACGUCUGCUGCCUGGCUGGAUGAGCCAGAGUCUACUGUUCAGCCCACAGAGGCUCCAUCCACAUCCCAGGGUGGUGUUCCUCUUUUGCAGACACCUCUAAGUGACUUACCCGUGGAGUUAGACGGUUGGGUGCGCCUGUGGGAGAAACCUGAUGGCAUCCCAUCUGCUGACAUUCACUGGCUUAAGGAGGACACAACAAGAGGAAAGUUCACCGCUGUUCAUGUGUACAAAGACAACACUGGUGUGCUCAAGAGGAGACGGGUGAUGGCAUCUGACCGCAUGUGGUUCUACCCUCCAGAACCUCCGGCCUAUGUCGGAGGGGUUCUGCC